rnacentral:lncRNA from 1 species
UAUUUUAAGUUAACAAAAAAAUCAAAAGGAAAAAUCGUGAAUGUUUUUUGUAAUUCAGUAGAUGUUUUUAAGUUCCUAAACAAUUUGUUAGAAAACUCGACUAACAAAUAAAUCAUGGGUCGAAAUCCCAUCAAAGAAGAAAUUGCUAGCACUGAUGCAUGUAGAGCAGAGUCGUGGCCGUAUGCGCGCUUGCUCGCUACCCCACUUGUUAGGUGUUCUCGGCGGGCGUGGCUAAGAGCAUCUCCACUCA